rnacentral:tRNA from 1 species
AGGAACUUAGGAUACUUCAAACCGAGGGCCUUCAAAGCCCUAAACAAGAGCACCCACCUCUUAGUACCUG